ACUGUGGGCCAUUAGGAGUUCUGCCAGAAGCCAAAAGGGGCCACUGGCACAAUGAACUUCCCUGGAGAGGGGAAGCACAAGAGGAGCCGAGCUCAUGCAAACCAUGCGGAGGCAUGGAGAUAGUGCUGGGAGCCGGAGACCAAGCUGGACAUGGGGACGACAAACCCCUCCACAAGAGAGGUGGCACAGAGAACCACAACGGAGGAAAACAGCUUCUCGGACCAAUGCAGAAACUGAAGCACAAAGUGAGUAACUUGCCUAGGACUACAUGACAAGUCAGAAGCUGGGCUGUAAUUGGAUCUCAGGAAUUCCUGAACUGAGCUUUUAUCAUAAAAUAAACUUCAAGUAAAAUGUAGUAUUUGUCCCACAGAAGACAAUCCAAAUAGUGCUCUCUACAGCAAAGACCUAUACAGGUGCCUAUACUUUCUUCUGUCCAAUUACAGCAUGUUAUUAACUCCCCUAAGGUAAUGAUGUUACCGAAAAAUAGAAUGGCCAUUGUCUGCUUCCUCAAGAAAUACCUUGUUUAUAACUCUGGACAUUAUAAGUUGUCUUAAUGAGAAAACAAAUUUUAAUUAAUAAACUACAGUCAUUCCUUA